rnacentral:rRNA from 1 species
GAUUGAAGCUUGCUUUGAACUGUUUUAGUGGCGGACGGGUGAGUAACGCGUGAGGAACCUGCCUUUCAGAGGGGGAUAACGUCUGGAAACGGACGCUAAUACCGCAUGACAUUUUGUUGCCGCAUGGUGAUAAAAUCAAAGGAGCAAUCCGCUGAGAGAUGGACUCGCGUCCGAUUAGCCGGUUGGCGGGGUAACGGCCCACCAAAGCAACGAUCGGUAGCCGGGCUGAGAGGCUGAACGGCCACAUUGGGACUGAGACACGGCCCAGACUCCUACGGGAGGCAGCAGUGGGGGAUAUUGCACAAUGGAGGAAACUCUGAUGCAGCAACGCCGCGUGAGGGAAGAAGGUUUUCGGAUUGUAAACCUCUGUCCUCAGGGACGAUAAUGACGGUACCUGAGGAGGAAGCUCCGGCUAACUACGUGCCAGCAGCCGCGGUAAUACGUAGGGAGCAAGCGUUGUCCGGAUUUACUGGGUGUAAAGGGUGCGUAGGCGGCACUGCAAGUCAGGUGUGAAAACCAUGGGCUUAACUUAUGGAUUGCACUUGAAACUGUGGUGCUUGAGUGAAGUAGAGGCAGGCGGAAUUCCCGGUGUAGCGGUGAAAUGCGUAGAGAUCGGGAGGAACACCAGUGGCGAAGGCGGCCUGCUGGGCUUUAACUGACGCUGAGGCACGAAAGCAUGGGUAGCAAACAGGAUUAGAUACCCUGGUAGUCCAUGCCGUA